UACGUAGGGCGCAAGCGUUAUCCGGAAUUAUUGGGCGUAAAGAGCUCGUAGGCGGUUUGUCGCGUCUGCCGUGAAAGUCCGGGGCUCAACUCCGGAUCUGCGGUGGGUACGGGCAGACUAGAGUGAUGUAGGGGAGACUGGAAUUCCUGGUGUAGCGGUGGAAUGCGCAGAUAUCAGGAGGAACACCGGUAGCGGAAGGCGGGUCUCUGGGCAGUAACUGACGCUGAGGAGCGAAAGCGUGGGGAGCAACAGG
rnacentral:rRNA from 1 species